rnacentral:rRNA from 1 species
CUUUCUUAAGAGGGACUAUCGGUGUUUAMCCAAUGRAAGUUUGAGGCAAUAACAGGUCUGUGAUGCCCUUAGAUGUUCUGGSCCGCACGGCGCGYUACACUGAUGAAGUCAUCGAGUUCAUUUCCUUCAUCGGAAGAUGUGGGUAAUCUUUUGAAACUUCAUCGUGCUGGGGAUAGAGCAUUGCAAUUAUUGCUCUUGAACGAGGAAUCCCUAGUAAGCACAAGUCAUCAGCUUGUGCUGAUUACGUCCCUGCCCUUUGUACACACCGCCCGUCGCUACUACCGAUUGAAUGGCUUAGUGAGGCCUUCGGAUUGAGAUUUGGAGGCUGGUAACAGACUCUGUAUUUUGAGAAGUUGGUCAAACUUGGUCAUUUAGAGGAAGUAAAAGUCGUAACAAGGU